rnacentral:rRNA from 1 species
CUGUCUAGAAUAGGCCAGAGCGUAAGUGUUUCUACUUACAAGUGAAGGCGUAGAGAAAUCAAAUCAUGUGAUCAUUGUGGCUAAAACAGCUGCUUUGCGCAACAUGUGCCUGUUCGUAUAGCAAUGUUAGCUUGCUAACUUGCUGGGCGGAGCAAAGAGAUGCUUGAUUGGUACCCGAAAGAUGGUGAACUAUGCCUGGGCAAAUUGAAGCCAGAGGAAACUCUGGUGGAGGAUUGUAGCGAUUCUGACGUGCAAAUCGAUCGUCACACCUGGRUAUAGGGGCGAAAGACUUAUCAACCCCUCUAAUAUGUGGCYCCUUC